UAUAUAUAUAUAUAUAUAGGUGAGGGAUCAGACAAAGAGCAGCCCGAAUACCUCUUAUGAUGACCCCCUUUUUUUUGUCAGAGAAAACAUGUACCAAAGAUUAUCCACCUCAAAAAUCUCUCCCAACUAUAUCCCCAAACAGCCUACAGGCAUUCUUUUAAAUAAGGAAUGCCGUUUAGCAAAAUUUUUUGUUUGUUUGUUUUUAGUCUAAAAAAUAAGAUAAAAUGUCUGAAAACAAGUCUCUUCUAGUGUCUUGAAAAUCUGCUUUUGCAGUGUAAACUCCUAAAUUAAAGCACACAUAAAGAUGAUCUGUGGCAGAAAUUUACUACAUAAUUAACACCUAAGUGAUCAAACUCAGCAGAAUGAGCGGCUAAUCGUCCGAAAAGUUGUAACGUUGGGCGUCCUGCAGGCCACAACACAUCCACUGAUACUCCCCAGGUCCAUGCAUCUUUACUCUGACAAGGAGAUGAAGUAGGUGAUUCCUGCUGGUUUAGAGAUAUGGUCCAUCACUCCUCCAUCUCUUCUCCUCCUCAUCCCACCAUCAGACCUUUGCCUUCGUGUCACUCCUACCACAGCUCUCAAUCUCAAACUAAGUCUGGCAAGGUCAAAUUGACUUUAGAUUAAUUGACUGUCAAUUAAAGUAGUAAUUGUUUCAUAAUGUGCUGUGCACCCGCCAUCCACCCUACACUGAUAGGGAGGGCUCAUUUCCGUCAGAGCAGGUUUAAGCCGAUAAGCGGGUGAGUGAUGCCUCUCAGAGAGGGAGGGAGGUGACAGGCGGACAUGUGUGUGUUUGUGUGAAUGGAUGAGGAUCUAUAAUGUGCUCGUGUGACAUCGUUAAUGAGACGUCAUGAAUUUUCCCACGACAGCUCUGCGGCUGGACCCCAUGCUCCACUGUCAUUGGCCCAGAGGAGGGUCCAUGUACAUCACACAGACAGAAGAUAAGAAAAAUGUGUUUUGGCCUCAGAAGCAGACUCCAAGCGUGAAACCCUGGAGUGACUGUAGCACUCCUGGACGCCUCCCCGGUGAGAUUUUCCGAGCUCGUCCAACUGGGAGGAGACCCAAGGGAAGACUCAGGACACGCUGGAGGGACUAUGUCUCUCGGCUGGCCAGGGAACAUCUUGGGAAUUCCCCAGAAGAGCUGGCCCAAGUGGCUGGAGAGAGGGAAGCCUUGGCUCCUUGGCUCAGGCUGCUGACCCUGCAACCCGACUCCGGAUAAGCGGAAGAAAAUGGACGGGUGGAUGGAUGAACAAAUAAAUGUUGUAAAAUUAACUGUGAAUUUUGUUUCUGCUGAACUUGAAAUGAAAAACAAUUUAUGCAGCACCUUCAAUAAACAACAUACAGAAAAAUCUGCAUCUCAUUUGUUGUGAGCAACCUUAGACAUGAGCAACAGUGAUUUACUGCUUAUUUAGUCUUUGUUCAUUUCUGAGGAUUAAAAACAGACUCAGACUCCUUGCUGAGUAAUGAAACAGGACAAAUUUGGACCAAUAGUUGUUUUUAUGAAAGCACGGACGUUGAACCUAAUUUCUAAUCUAAGUUGGACCUUCGUUACAACACGCACGCGGUCACAGAAGACCGUUCGUCCGUCUGCUGCCCUGCUGCUCCCACAGAGAGCAGUGGUAUUUUUCACUGAAUUAUCUCCACUUAAUGACCACGAGAUUCUAAUUAAAGGCAUGAUUAGGGAUCGCUCUUAAGCACCUUAUUGGAAAUUAAGUACAAUCCAUUCUGCCUGACAGCGAGUUUCUAGAGAUACACUUUUGCUGAUCACCGAGAACUGCAGGGAGGAGAUGCUCAGUCUUGCUUCUUUUGUUUACAGCAGCACAGCAGGUCAGGCCUGUGGCCACUUUUCAUCCACAGACACAAUGUAGCAGGGACGAAAUUUUGAUUUCAGAAGUGGGGGGGACACAGCAGGCUUGUGCGGAUUUGGGGUGGGGGGUGUUAUGUAAAGACCCCUUGACACGUCACUUGCCCAUCUCAAUAAUUUUUAAUCCUCUAUAUCUAUAUAUCUAUAUAUAUAUAUAUAUAUAUAUAUAUAUAUAUAUAUAUAUAU
rnacentral:lncRNA from 1 species